AUCCAUCCCGGUACCAAGAAGACCACCCUAAGAUGUGCAAUUCCUCUUCAGAUUACAGUUUGUUUCUCUUCAGGUCUACGAUUCCUCUUCAGAUCUGUGUUUGUUUCUUCUUCAGAUCUACGAUUCCUCUUCAGAUCUGGGCAGUUAGCCAGCUCCGCGCCUACUUUAUAUAGAAUAAUUACCCUUAAUGUUCCUGUGGUAUAAUGUGCAAGGCUUUCGCUUUGUUUGCAGCAAGAACAACUUCAGCGGUGUAAGAUUUCACCGGAUCAAUUCUGAUUUUGCUCUCAUCAGCGGCUGUAAAUGGUGGUUGUUUGGUUAAGCUAGCGAUUCCGACCACUUGACAAACUUUAAGGAAGAACCAUAGAGAGAGAAGGGAAGGAGAAUCUCUAGAGAAGAUAGAUCUAAGUUGGGAUUGAAGUAAGAGUUAUGGAUCAUACUGUUGGUGGGAAGUUUAAGCUUAAAAGGAAAAUUGGGAAUGGGUCGUUUGGUGAACUUUAUUUAGGUGUCAAUAUUCAAAGUGGUGAAGAAGUAGCUAUUAAACUG